rnacentral:rRNA from 1 species
UUACCAUGCAGUCGAGCGGUAAGGCCCUUCGGGGUACACGAGCGGCGAACGGGUGAGUAACACGUGGGUGAUCUGCCUCGCACUUCGGGAUAAGCCUGGGAAACUGGGUCUAAUACCGGAUAUGACCUUUCAGUGCAUGCUGUUUGGUGGAAAGAUUUAUCGGUGCGAGAUGGGCCCGCGGCCUAUCAGCUUGUUGGCGGGGUAACGGCCCACCAAGGCGACGACGGGUAGCCGACCUGAGAGGGUGACCGGCCACACUGGGACUGAGACACGGCCCAGACUCCUACGGGAGGCAGCAGUGGGGAAUAUUGCACAAUGGGCGAAAGCCUGAUGCAGCGACGCCGCGUGAGGGAUGACGGCCUUCGGGUUGUAAACCUCUUUCGACAGGGACGAAGCGAGAGUGACGGUACCUGUAGAAGAAGCACCGGCCAACUACGUGCCAGCAGCCGCGGUAAUACGUAGGGUGCGAGCGUUGUCCGGAAUUACUGGGCGUAAAGAGCUUGUAGGCGGUUUGUCGCGUCGUCCGUGAAAACUUGGGGCUCAACCCCAAGCUUGCGGGCGAUACGGGCAGACUUGAGUACUUCAGGGGAGACUGGAAUUCCUGGUGUACCGGUGAAAUGCGCAGAUAUCAGGAGGAACACCGGUGGCGAAGGCAGGUCUCUGGGAAACACGGAUGCUGAGAAGCCUCACGCGUGGCUC